UGCAACAUUGCACGGAGGGGAUGACGAGGAUAUUGAAGAAUGGUGGAAUAGAACUUUGGCACCACUGUCUGGUAAGAAAUGAAGAUCCAUAACAGCAAUCUUGAUGUACACAACAUGGCAUAUCUAGAAGGAAAGAAACUGAAGGGUGUCCGACUACAAAGCUCUUCGGCCAGAUCAAGUUUUCGGGUUAAUUCAAGACGACAUCAAAACACGCCGACAAGCCUGUGGGACUCCUUUGUUAGGAGAUGAGUUCCAUGUAUCUUAAUAUUUUAUGUUUACCAUUCUGUUGUAGUUUGUGAGAGAGGCCAACUUAUUUAUGUAAUAGACAAUAUCUUGUAAUCUGGAACCUCUAUCUCUCUUAAAUGCAAGGUAGUGCUCCUGCCAAUGUUUUAAAUAAAAAGAGAGUGAUAGUACAUGUUACACGACUCUCCAACAAGAAAGGAGUGGAGAGAAUCUCUAUUUGAAUGUCCUAUUUGAAUUAGAAAUGCAACAACAAUUAUCUUGAGGGUCAUGCAUACAAUAAGAGUUAAUUUCAUUAGCGGUCCUUAAAUUUAUCUCGUGUUCUUAUUUCGAUCUCGGUACUCUCAAAAUGCAUCGUAACAUUUUUAAACUUGUCACACGUUCUCAUCCCAAC
rnacentral:lncRNA from 1 species